rnacentral:rRNA from 1 species
GGCUCAGGACGAACGCUGGCGGCGUGCUUAACACAUGCAAGUCGAACGAUGAACCACUUCGGUGGGGAUUAGUGGCGAACGGGUGAGUAACACGUGGGCAAUCUGCCCUGCACUCUGGGACAAGCCCUGGAAACGGGGUCUAAUACCGGAUACUGACCUUCACGGGCAUCUGUGAGGGUCGAAAGCUCCGGCGGUGCAGGAUGAGCCCGCGGCCUAUCAGCUUGUUGGUGAGGUAACGGCUCACCAAGGCGACGACGGGUAGCCGGCCUGAGAGGGCGACCGGCCACACUGGGACUGAGACACGGCCCAGACUCCUACGGGAGGCAGCAGUGGGGAAUAUUGCACAAUGGGCGAAAGCCUGAUGCAGCGACGCCGCGUGAGGGAUGACGGCCUUCGGGUUGUAAACCUCUUUCAGCAGGGAAGAAGCGAAAGUGACGGUACCUGCAGAAGAAGCGCCGGCUAACUACGUGCCAGCAGCCGCGGUAAUACGUAGGGCGCAAGCGUUGUCCGGAAUUAUUGGGCGUAAAGAGCUCGUAGGCGGCUUGUCACGUCGGUUGUGAAAGCCCGGGGCUUAACCCCGGGUCUGCAGUCGAUACGGGCAGGCUAGAGUUCGGUAGGGGAGAUCGGAAUUCCUGGUGUAGCGGUGAAAUGCGCAGAUAUCAGGAGGAACACCGGUGGCGAAGGCGGAUCUCUGGGCCGAUACUGACGCUGAGGAGCGAAAGCGUGGGGAGCGAACAGGAUUAGAUACCCUGGUAGUCCACGCCGUAAACGGUGGGCACUAGGUGUGGGCAACAUUCCACGUUGUCCGUGCCGCAGCUAACGCAUUAAGUGCCCCGCC